rnacentral:SRP_RNA from 1 species
GCCGGGUGCGGCGGCUCACACCUGUAAUCCUAGCACUCUGGGAGGCUGAGGCGGGUGGAUCACCUGAGGUCAGGAAUUUGAGACCAGUCUGACCUGGUUGGUCAUGGAGCGCCUGACCAACAUGGUGAAACCCUGUCUCUA